rnacentral:hammerhead_ribozyme from 1 species
AUCCUGAUGACGAGCCUGAAAUAGGACGAAACGCGUGUCCUGGGU